AAUUCUUUCAAACCAGGAGGAACUGUUGAAGCUUGGGUCAUAAACUUGUAUUGACGUAUCCUAUUCUUGUCUAACCACCCAAAAACCUCAAACAGACACACAUUCUUCCAUACAUCAAGUGAAUAUUUUCUUGAAAAAUGGGAGAAUGAAUCAAGAAGAUUGUACAUGAAAGAUCAAGCCAUAAAAGCUUUUGAAGGUGCUGGAAAAGCAAGGAAACUACACUUGACAGAUUCGUUGCACUUCCCAUCCCUGUACAACUACCACUGGUUCCUAUUCACUGUUGACAUAAGGGACAAAAAGUUCAUCUUUAUGGACUCCCUUUUUGACAAGAAUUCAGAUUUACACCAAGAAGUUGAUAAUCGAAUGAUUAUGAACUUUGGAAGAACUUGGAGUGAAUGCCGCUUGAAAGACAUUAACUUCCAAGAAUUUGAAGUCAUCUAUCCACCUGUACCAAAGCAAAGAAAUGGG